rnacentral:lncRNA from 1 species
CCGUUUAAAUUCAGAAUUUGAAUACAUCAUUUAUUUUCUCGAAUUUAAUUAAUAUAUUUUAUGUAAUUUACAUAACUGUAAAUUCAUUAAAAUAAGCAACUAGCUUAAAUCUUGUAUUCUAAAAAGUCAUCAAAUCACUGAAAUUAAACAAAUUAAAUGAUUUGGAACUAAAAUUAGAAUUUUGAAAGAUUGAAUAGCCGAAUCAAAAUUGUCUAUAAUGCAGACACGUUAUAUAUAUUUUUACCUAAUAAUAAUUUCUCAAGAGCUGAGUUCCUGUGCUUUUAAAAGUACAUAACUCAACGUGCUUAUAAUUUUUUAGCCGUCGGAUUGCCUCAAGAUCCGUGUAGCACUAAAUAACGAUAUCCCCUUAAGUUUCUUUACUGGUACUGUACGAAUCUUAAAACGAUUCGAUGGCUAAAAAAUUAUAAACACGCUGAGCUGCUAUGCUUUCUCAACUCAAUUCCUC